rnacentral:lncRNA from 1 species
CCCGGGUGUCCCAGGCGCUGCGCUGGGGCUGGACGAGAGAUAUGAAGACACGGUGUGCUGGGCCACAAGCUCCUGGUGCACACGGGGGGAAGGACCAGUAGACACAUGAGAGCAGACGGGACAAGUUCACUGGUAAGGGGCAGCACAGGGCGUGGCUCUCAGCCUGGAGAUCGUCCUGGGCACAGGGCCAGGUGUGAGCAGUCCAGGGGAGGCGCGCAUGGGGAGACAUCCCGGGCAGGGUCAGACGAUCCUUCGCCACCCUCUUUCACGGUCAAGUGAAACGUUCCCUUAGGCAGCAGCCUUCAUCUACCCUUGGGGCCCACUGAGGUUGCACCACUCUUCGGUUCCCUGCAGGAGGGAGUGCAAACAAAAGUAUAGGUUGGAGGAAAGACAGAGGAGGGCCGUCCUUAGGGUCCCCACACCCCUCGGGGGAAGCUGAUAGCAGUGCCUUUCCGCCUCAGUGUCGUUGGGAUCCUCUGGGUCCCCUGGUGGGGGAGCACCCCCAUGGGCACAGUGGGGAACAGUAGGUACAGAAGGGACAAUAUGUUUUUACCCAAUGGUUUUGGUACCUGUGACACAUCCCCUCAGCCCCCCUAUGGUUUCAGCUGUGGCUCUGGUGGUAAGUUCAGUAAGUUCAUGUCUGAAGCUGGGAGCCCACCCAGCUCUCCCACAAGCACACCCUGGAAGUGUGGGAAGGUCACGCCCAGGAGCCACCGUCAAGGGGAGAAUGAGAGCCAGUAGACAAAAAGCUCAUCCUUUGGACAGAACGUUCUGGAAGGAAUUCUGUACACUUGCCGGAGGUUCUAGAAUUGAGACCCUGUUGCCCAGCAACCUUGAUAAUACACAUAGGGUGACUUUUCGUCCUUCCUGGGCUUGCUCACUUCCUUUCCCUUUACCCCUGCGUCCUGGGAUCUCCUCCCAAACGAACGAGUCCUGUCUCAGGCUCUGCUUCUGGGGGAACCCAAGCUAAGAGAGAAGUGCUAUUAACAACUGGAGGAUCUGAAUGCCAAUCUCUUACCUUUCAGAAUUGUCACUUACACCUAAACCAGAGAGGAGGAGAGUCCCAACACUGGCUUUGAAACGCCUCUGACCCACAGGAAAUGGCUGUUUUCAAGGUGGGCUGUGAACAGGGCUUAUUGAUAUAGAAAGCUCAGAGGACCUGGUGUGGGGAUUGGUCGGGGGACUCAAUUUAGCACGUGGCAAGAAAUUCUGGUUUCACCCAGGGGAAAGCUGCUGGAUAUUGUUUCCUCAGUCAUAAUGGCCACAUGUUUUAAAACCCCACAGUUCUAGAAGGAUGAAUGGCUGGGAAAAGAUUGGGAUAGGGAGGUUGUAUGUGAACCUAAAAACUCUUAUAAAUAUUUUUACGUUCAUAAAAGCCCAUUAAGAAAACAACAGUGAAAUUUAAACCUCAAAGAAUUGGAAAUCAAAGUUAACAGACGAUUACUUUUCCUCGUCUUUAAUCUCAAGAUAUUGGACUGAGGUAAUGAUGGAGUGAUGUAUGGAGGAGAAAGAUUUGGGGACGAGGCAUUCUUAAGAUUCCUUUUAUCCUCUGAAUUACUUUUGAUCUUCAUAUACGCUAUGGAAAUUCUUUCUGUUGUAGAAAGUAAAUACAUCGCAGAUGGAGUCAGACUCAUGUAUUUGGCGAGGUGUGGUAACUCCCAUCCAAAUAUUUCUUUUAAUUUUACUCCGCUCAUCAAAGGGCCAGCUCACAUGGAAAGUGUGCUUGGUGUGCCGGAGACCAGGUUACAUUUCUAGGUUAUUCACGUGUUUCACGAGACACUUAACAACACAAUAGCCCUGAAGGUACAUGACAGCGUUUAGUUUUAUAGACAGGAGAGCUGAGGCUCUGUUAUGCAUGCAGUAUGAUCAGACCUGGUUUUAAAACUUUGAAAGGUUUUUCAUGUGGAUAUAUUCAUGCAUGGUGGGGGGGGGGGAAGGGGCGGGGACUUGCCAGGCCAUGUGACUUGCCUUUGGGUUAAAAUCAUGAUCAUCUAAAAAUAUUGGAAUACAUGCUGUUAAAAAGCCCACUUCCAACAAUUUUGCAUUGGAGAAGGCCGUAUUUGUCUCAGGGAGAAAACACUUCUUUAAGGAAAUGCUCCGAUGGCUCACUGGUCAUGAACAAGCUCCCUGGCUCUUGUCAAGACAACAAGAGAAAUUACUCGGCUUGGAUCGCUUAAUAUUAAGAGAUUUAAAAUGUUUCCCCAGUGAGCUCAAGUCAGAAGUUAGAGAGUGCCAGCGGUUAAGAUACGCCCAAGGCAGGGAUGGUCAGUUUUCAACUGUGUGUUUUGUUUUUGUCUUUUUGUCUUGUGCAGUCCUUCCCCUUUGUUGCUCUCAAACCUUCAGUGGAUCCCAUCACCCACGGAGCACUGCAUUAGCAGUGUCUUCGGAAACUAGAGGGGAAAAAGCAGAUACGUCAGCGUCUGGGCAAAGCCAUGCCAAGGAAACACAAUAGUCAGCAGGAGCAGGGAGCGGACGGUCAGAAGGCAGUAAGACAAAGCUGGCAACAGUUGAGAUUGAGAGGUGACGUCCGUAAUUCUCCACCUGUAGAAUUAUUCAGGAAGCCGCUGGAUCUCGUACAGAGGGAGUCUGGAUGAGGUUUCGGUUUUCCUUGUUUGUUUGUUUUCUCCUGGAGAUUGUAAGAAACCGAGACUUAGUCAGGCCACAAAGAUUACAAAGAGAGUGUGAGCCAGUUGACUCAAACCCCUAAAAAAGAUAUGGUGAUUUCGUGGUGACUUCUUGGGCUCACUCCUCUUCCCAGUCACCUGAGAGCCCGUUAAUUCGGGGCCAUUUUUUAACAUUUAUUUAUUUUUGAGAGAGAGAGAGAGACAGAGUGUGAGCAGGGGAGGGGCAGAGGGACAGA